GACGAACGCUGGCGGCGUGCUUAACACAUGCGAGUCGAACGAUGAAGCAAAGAAUCGAAGCUUCGGCAGAAAUUCAUUUCGGAUUAGUGGCAGACGGGUGAGUAACGCGUGAGCAACCUACCUCUUACAAAGGGAUAGCCUCGGGAAACCGGGAUUAAUACCAUAUAACAUUGCGACGAAGCAUUUCGAUGCAAUCAAAGCUACGGCGGUAAGAGAUGGGCUCGCGUCCCAUUAACCGGAUGGUGAGGUAACGGCUCACCAUAGUGACGAUGGGUAACCGGCCUGAGAGGGUGAACGGUCACACUGGUACUGAGACACGGUCCAGACUCCUACGGGAGGCAGCAGUGGGGAAUAUUGCACAAUGGAGGGAACUCUGAUGCAGCGACGCCGCGUGAGUGAUGAAGGAAUUCGUUUCGUAAAACUCUGUUCUAUGGGAAGAAAAGGACUGUACCAUAGGAGAAAGCGCCGGCUAAAUACGUG
rnacentral:rRNA from 1 species